GGGGAGGAACUGACAGACAGAGGAGCGCAGCUCUCUGCGCUGGUAACAGUCUUCCUCCUCCUCCUGGGUCCACUGAUGACCCACUGCACCACCCUCUUCUACCCAUUGGACUGUAGUGACAUCUAUGAUCAGGUCGCCAGCCGACCCAGUGGAGUUUACAUCAUCUAUCCCAUUGGAGCCACGUCUGCUACCCAGGAGACGCUCUGAGUCAUGUCAGUGGACAGAAGUUCUCCACCUUUGACAAAGACCGGGACACCUGGUCUGGAAACUGUGCCAAGUCGUUCCUGGGGGCGUCAUGGUACAGCAACUGUCAUAGUGCAAACCCCAACGGGGUUUAUCGCUGGGGUGCUGACAGCACCAUCUAUGCUGUUGGAGUUGCUUGGCACCCGUGGAAGGCUGAUGAAUACUCGCUGAAGGGCAUCAGCAUGAAGAUCCGUCCUGUGCGGUGAAUCUGCAGAACCAACACAGAGCAGAACAUCAGGGGGUGGUCUGUGAGUUUUUCUCUCAUUAAUCACUGAGUCUCACAGUAGGCCGUAUUUUUUGAAAGCACAGUCCACCAGCACAAGAAAACUAACUGUUGUCAUCAUUUUUCAAAUAGCCUGUUAAAUAUAGCAUUAAAAUAUUUCUUGUAUUAAAUCUUUGCUGUUAGAAAAGGAUCAUUCUUGCUAAAAUGUUAAAAAUAAUACGUCAGUUACUCCUUCAGUGAUUUGAAAUGUCUCCGACACCUACACGCAUUUAUCAGUAACUUCUUGACUUAGUGUUUCUCCACUUCUAACUUUAAACUUUAUUCACAUCAGAAUAAGGAGACAGUUGUACUUGUUUACAUGAUAGUGGUUAACAACAAAUAUAGUUUGUUUUUUAUGCAGGUGUUUGUUAUGUUGAAUGACAAUGAAUUAUUUUUAAAAAACUGAAAAUAAA